UACAGAGGUCCCGAGCGUUGUUCGGAUUCAUUGGGCGUAAAGAGCUCGUAGGCGGCUGCUCAAGUCGAAUGUGAAAACUCGAGGCUCAACCUCGAGCCUGCAUUCGAUACUAGGCGGCUAGAGUCUGGUAGGGGGAUCUGGAAUUCCUGGUGUAGCGGUGGAAUGCGCAGAUAUCAGGAGGAACACCGGUGGCGAAGGCGGGAUCCUGGGCCAGUACUGACGCUGAGGAGCGAAAGCGUGGGGAGCAAACGGG
rnacentral:rRNA from 1 species